rfam:Pteropus vampyrus cont1.273151, whole genome shotgun sequence.
GGGGAGGGCGGUGUGGAAGCGGGCUUGCUGGGGCCACCCAGUGCGGGCUCGGGAAGGGAAGGAAUGUGGCUGAGGCGGGUGUGGCUGAGGGGGGGGCGCAACCGCCUGUGGGUUCUUCUUGGGGCCCAGAGAGAUGUGAGCCGAGAUGGAGGCCCCUCUCCCUCGGCCCCCGGCACGCACACUCGGACCUUUCUUCA